rnacentral:lncRNA from 1 species
UUUUUUUUUUGAAAUUUUAUUUUUAUUUUUUUUUUUACAGAAUAAAAUACAUGUAUUUAAACACAAUUACAUUCACACAGAUUAUUAUAUCAUGGAUCUUAAGAAACAGAUUAAUGACUCCCUCUGGAGAAGUGGAAUGGAAAAUAUGCUGAGGCAAAUAGGAAAUUCAUUCUAUACUUUAUCCCAUUUUGUAUGGCUUUCAUAUUUACUAUUUAGUAUUAUCUAUUACAUUUCAAUUUUUCUUUAAAAAUUAGCAUUAUAUUAAAAUUGUGUAUAUUAUGCAACUAAAAUUUAUAAACAAGAAAGCCUUAUAUACUAUUAAAUAUUUUAUAUAGCAUAAUAAAAAGGAUAACUUACCUGGUAAGAAUAACAAAAAUAAUAUACCCUCUGAAAAUAAGUAAAAUAUAAAAUGCAUAAAUUGGUUAAAAAAACAGUUGUAACUAUAUAAAUGUGUCCUCACAAUUUGUUACAUCUUAUUGAUUCUUCAAUAUAGGCAUUACACCAUUCUAGGUGAUGUGAUAAACAAGACAUUAUAGACUUUACAUUGUACCAUGGAGAGAAAUGGUUAUUAAUAAUACAAUUGUAGAACUAUAUUAUUUAAUUGUACAGUUGCAUUAUUUAAUUAUGAUUAUCAUAAAUUCUUUGAUGGAGAGGGAAUCAGAAUCAGAUGUAAGAAGACUUUGGCAUUCCAAGAAUGAUGUCGAAUGACCCUCUUCAUGGUGGAUUAUGCACUUAUUUACUAUGAGAUAUAUUUGUUCUCCAGAGAUUCCUUGUUUGUGUAUCAAUUGUAGAUUUUUGGUUUGCAGCUAUUCUGAAGUUUUGAUAUGAGUCUAUAUAUAUAUGAGAUUGUUUUAAGUUGUUGUUCUCUUAACUGCAAGUCCAUCUCCAGUGUCCUGCAUUUGUACCCACCUCUUCUCAUGAUUUCUGAUUUUGGCGGUAUAAUUGUGCAUGGAUGAUUUUGUAUCUUUACUGUAUAUAUACCUUUAUGGUGAGCCUUGUCAUUUGUGGAAUUAUUGUUUUCCGUUGCUGUCUUUUCUUUUCUGCCUAGAGAUGUUCCUUUAGUAUUUGUUGUAAGGCUGGUUUAGUGUUGAUGAAUUCUCUCAACUUUUGCUUAUAUGUGAAGGUUUUGAUUCCUCCUUCAAAUCUGAAUGAGAGCCUUGCUGGGUAGAGUAUUCUUGGUUGGAGGUUUUUUCCUUUCAUCAUGUUAAGUAUAUCAUGCCACUCCCUUCUGGCCUGCAGAGUUUCUGCUGAAAAAUCUGCCUAUAACCUUAUUGGGGUUCCCUUGUAUGUUACUUGUUUCUUUUCCCUAGCUGCUUUCAAUAUUUUCUCUUUGUCUUUAAUUUUGGUCAGUUUGAUGAAUAUGUGUCUUGGGGUGUUCCUCCUUGAGUUUAUUUUACAUGGUACACGUUGUGCUUCCUGGAUUUGAAUGAGUGACUCCUUUCCCAUGUGAGGGAAGUUUUUGGCUAUUAUCAAUUGGAAUAUUUUUUCUGUCCCCUUCUCUCUCUCUUCUCCUUCUGGCACCCCUAUAAUACGGAUGUUGGUGCGUUUAACAUUGUCUCAGAAUUCUCUGAGACUCUCUUCAUUUCUUCUCAAUCUUUUUUCUCUUUUCUGUUCUGCAUCCAUAAUUUCCACCUAUCUGUCCUCCACCUCACUUAUUCAUUCUUCUGCCUCCUGUAUUCUGCUGUUAGCUGCUUCUAGUGAAUUUUUAAUUCCAGUUAUUGUAUUUUGCAUCUCUUCUUCUUUAAGUUUUAUAUCUUGUAUCUCUUUGAUCAGUGUUUCCUGUAAGUUAUCCAUCUUUGCCUCCAGUUUAUUUCCAAUGUCUUGCAUCAUCUUAUGUAUCAACAGUCUAAAGUCUUUUUCCUGGAGGCUGAGAAUCUCCUCAUGGCUUAGCUGAUUUUCUGGGGUUUUUCCUUUCUCCCUCAUCUGAGUUAUAGUCCUCUGUCAUUUCAUUUUUAUAGAUUUUUGGUGUGGUGACCUUUUUAUAGAUAAUAGAGUUGUAACCUCUCUUACUUCUGGUGUCUGCCCCCCUUGUGGCUGAAGU